GACGAACGCUGGCGGCGUGCCUAAUACAUGCCAGUAGAACGCUGAAGAGAGGAGCUUGCUCUUCUUGGAUGAGUUGCGAACGGGUGAGUAACGCGUAGGUAACCUGCCUUGUAGCGGGGGAUAACUAUUGGAAACGAUAGCUAAUACCGCAUAACAAUGGAUGACACAUGUCAUUUAUUUGAAAGGGGCAAUUGCUCCACUACAAGAUGGACCUGCGUUGUAUUAGCUAGUAGGUGAGGUAAUGGCUCACCUAGGCGACGAUACAUAGCCGACCUGAGAGGGUGAUCGGCCACACUGGGACUGAGACACGGCCCAGACUCCUACGGGAGGCAGCAGUAGGGAAUCUUCGGCAAUGGGGGCAACCCUGACCGAGCAACGCCGCGUGAGUGAAGAAGGUUUUCGGAUCGUAAAGCUCGGUUGUAAGUCAAGAACGGGUGUGAGAGUGGAAAGUUCACACUGUGACGGUAGCUUACCAGAAAGGGACGGCUAACUACGUG
rnacentral:rRNA from 1 species